CCUACGGGAGACAGCAGUAGGGAAUCUUCCACAAUGGGCGAAAGCCUGAUGGAGCAACGCCGCGUGGGUGAAGAAGGUCUUCGGAUCGUAAAACCCUGUUGUUAGAGAAGAAAGUGCGUGAGAGUAACUGUUCACGUUUCGACGGUAUCUAACCAGAAAGCCACGGCUAACUACGUGCCAGCAGCCGCGGUAAUACGUAGGUGGCAAGCGUUAUCCGGAGUUAUUGGGCGUAAAGGGAACGCAGGCGGUCUUUUAAGUCUGAUGUUAAAGCCUUCGGCUUAACCGGAGUAGUGCAUUGGAAACUGGGAGACUUGAGUGCAGAAGAGGAGAGUGGAACUCCAUGUGUAGCGGUGAAAUGCGUAGACAUAUGGAAGAACACCAGUGGCGAAAGCGGCUCUCUGGUCUGUAACUGACGCUGAGGUUCGAAAGCGUGGGUAGCAAACAGGAUUAGAUACCCGGGUAGUC
rnacentral:rRNA from 1 species